rnacentral:lncRNA from 1 species
AGCUGUGGCUCCGCCCCCUGCCUCCCCCCACCCCCCCACCCCAUCAUUAGUGACUUAAAUCCUUGUGUUAGUGCCUUUUCUAUUGUGAUAAAACACCAUGACCAAGAGAACCCUGGUUCCGUUAACCAGUGCCACAUGGCAGCUCACGCCUGCCUGUAACUCCAGCUCCAAGGGUCAGACACCCUCUUCUGGCCUCUGAAUGAACCUGCACACACAUACCACUCCCACCAACUACAACAGCAGCAGCAGCAGCAGCAGCAGCAGCAACAGCAGCAGGUUUUUGAGCUGGGAGUUAGGGUGCAUGUCUGUAAUCCCAGGACUAAGUCUGCUUGGUUGCCAUGAGCUUCCAGCCAGUCUGGGUGAUGCCAUCAGCUCUAGGCUUGUCUGAGCUGCAGGUUUCACAGCAUAGCCCCUCAUAGAAGGAAGUCGGGACAGGAUCGCAAACAGAGCAGGACCUGGAGGCAGGAGCUGAUGCAGAGGCCACGGAGGGGUGCUGCUUGCUGGCUUGCUCAGUCCUUCUUACAGACCCAGCCCAGUAAUGGUACCACCCUUGGUGGGCUGGGCUCUCCCCCAUAAGUCACAAAUUAAGAAAAUGUCCUAAAGGCUUGCCUACAGCCCAGUUUUAUGGAGACAUAUUCUUAUUUGAGGCUCCAAUGAUUCUAGCNUAUGUAGGGUUGACCUAAAACUAGCCAGCCCAGGUGGGAACAAAAAGCUGUGCAUAUAAAGGAGACUUGAAUACUUUAGAUUGGAAGGAUGGGGCAUAAUGAAGUCAGAACUCACAACUGAGCACACAUCCCCUUUGGCUCCCACCUCACCGCAGCAUCUGCUUGUCCUUCAUUCUUCUCUACCCACCCCAGACCAUGUUAUAAAUGAAGCCAGUCACAGUUAGACCUGGUCCCUACUGAAGAUUUCCUCCCUGAUCUUUGGAGUCGGCUUUCUCUCUGCUGACUGACUUCCUCCCAAACCAUGGUUCCACACCAACCUAUAGGAGAACGUUGGACUGGAGUGGGACAGAGAGAAGUCAGGGAGGUUUUCCAGGUGUCUGGUCUCUUGAAUGUGUCGCUUCCUUAGUCAGAAACUGACCUGCGCCUACACUGUUUCUGUC